GCUUUAAACUUACUCCAUGAGCAUGAAACAGGUUUCAAGUUUCGCUUCUCCAUCUCUGAAACAGGACUGAUUGUCCUUCCCUUUUCAGUCUCGCCUCUUUCAACUGAAAAUCUUCUGGGAUAGUAACUGUCUUUUGCUACCUGUGUGAACAAAGCCAGACACAGGGAGACCUUGAUUUUGUGCGAGUUCUCUGGAGGACACUAUAGUAACUCCUGUUAUUAGUACCAUGGUGAGAACAGGGAGGUAGUUGCUGUCUCCAGCUGGGUUGUGGAGGGGAUUUUCGUAAAGGUUUUGUUUCUUAGCACUGCAGUUCAGCCCUGUGAGGUCCUUGGAGGACACCAGAGCAGGCUUGCUUGGGCACCUCAGCUGUCGGAGUCGCCUCUGUGCCCGCUCCUUCCCUUCGGCUGGUUCGCACGGCAAAGUCGCUGCCCUGGACUGCCCCAUCCUUCACGCAUACCGAGAGAUGAAUUGCUGGUGGCCUGGUCUGCGCAGACUGGAGCAUGCUGGGAAGAACUAUCAGGUCACCACUCACUGGGCACACGGCAGAGCUUUAACAGGCCUGGGUGAACAGAGUGUAAAGGGUUCAGGUAAUGACUGAGCUCAUGUGAACAGUGGUGACCAAGGGAACAGGCUCUGUAAUCUUAUUAUUGGUCUGCUAAAUCCUUCUGACCCUUUAAAGAAGUGCUGUCAACAGCGCUAUGAUGGAUCUCACCUGAGCUCAGCCUGGGAGCCUGCUGUAGACGCCGCUGCGGGAAUGCGUGCGGUGUCGGUUCAGUGCCCUGCAUCCUCCAGACAACUGUCAUGCACUCCGUAAGGGGCAGGAGUCUUUCCACUCAAAGAUGACAAACAGGCAAAUAAACUUCCUAAUAGACUGAGUGUUACA
rnacentral:lncRNA from 1 species